UUCUGGGAAAAUUCACAGAAUGAGAGCUCUUGCUUGAUUCGGUGGAUGGUUGUGCAGUUAGUUGGUUGGUGUGAUUUGUCUGGUUAAUUUCGAUAACGAACGAGAUCCUAGCCUAUUAAAUAGGUACGUGGUUCUCUGCACCCUUCACCCUUUUAGAGGGACACGCGACUCCUAGCCGCACGAAACAGAACAAUAACAGGUCUGCGAUGCCCUUAGAU
rnacentral:ncRNA from 1 species